rnacentral:rRNA from 1 species
UAGGGAAUCUUUUGCAAUGGACGAAAGUCUGACCGAGCAACGCCGCGUGAGUGAAGAAGGUUUUCGGAUCGUAACACUCUGUUGUUAGAGAAGAACAAGGACGUUAGUAACUGAACGUCCCCUGACGGUAUCUAACCAGAAAGCCACGGCUAACUACGUGCCAGCAGCCGCGGUAAUACGUAGGUGGCAAGCGUUGUCCGGAUUUAUUGUGCGUAAAGCGAGCGCAGGCGGUUUCUUAAGUCUGAUGUGAAAGCCCCCGGCUCAACCGGGGAGGGUCAUUGGAAACGGGGAGACGUGAGUGCAGAAGAGGAGAGUGGACUUCCAUGUGGAGCGGUGAAAUGCGUAGAUAUAUGGAGGAACACCAGUGGCGAAGGCGGCUCUGUGGUCUGUAACUGACGCUGAGGCAAGAAAGCGUGGGGAGCAAAGAGG